UGCGUAGGCGGUUUGGUAAGUCAGAUGUGAAAUUCCUGGGCUCAACUGAGGAACUGCAUUUGAUACUGCCAGACUAGAGUACUGGAGAGGAGACUGGAAUUUACGGUGUAGCAGUGAAAUGCGUAGAUAUCGUAAGGAAGGCCAGUGGCGAAGGCGAGUCUCUGGACAGUAACUGACGCUGAGGCACGAAGGCUAGGGGAGCAAACG
rnacentral:rRNA from 1 species